AUGGCCGCCUCGCUUCGCGUUCCUAGGAAACUGCGCAGUAUUUUAUUUUUUUAUGUGUUAUUUCUUACAUUGUUACCCCAGGAAAUCUUAGGUUUUAUUACAUACAGUCGGGAGGAACUAUUGGAUAUAAGAGCAAUGUCAACUCACCAACAUUACGACCAGGAAUACGACUUUCCCGAAGUGGAUCCUCUGUUUGGUCCACCAACCAGGAUAAUGGAUCGGAUCCCAGCCAGCGACCCAAAACAACGGCGCCGCAGCAGGGGCAGACAGAGCUGUCUUCUGGUCAGGCUCCGUAGACGGGCACAUCGCGCACCGGUCCCGAGCAUACUACUCGCCAAUGUCCAGUCUCUUGACAACAAGGUAGACAAAAUCCAAGCAAAGGUUGCCUUCCAGAGAGACAUCAGAGAUUGUAACGUUCUUUGUUUCAUGGAAACAUGGCUCACUCGGGAUAUGUCAUCAGAGUCGGUACAGCCACCUGGUUUCUUCAUGCAUCGCGCCGACAGAAACAAACAUCUCUCUGGUAGGAAGAAGGGCAGGGGUGUAUGCCUUAUGACUAAUGAGACGUGGUGUCAUCAUAACAACAUACAGGAACUCAAGUCCUUUUGUUCACAUGACCUAGAAUUCCUUACAAUCAAAUGCCGACCGCAUUAUCUACCAAGAGAAUUCUCUUCGAUCAUAAUCACAGUCGUGUAUAUCCCGCCCCAAUCAGACACAUCGACGGCCCUGAAAGAACUUCAUUUGACUCUAUGUAAACUGGAAACCACAAAUCCUGAGGCUGCAUUUAUUGUAGCUGGGGAUUUUAACAAGGCUAGUCUGAAAUCAAGGCUCCCUAAAUUUCAUCAGCAUAUCGAAUGCACGACCUGGGUUGGCAAAACCCGGGACCAUUGUUAUUCUAACUUCCGUGAUGCAUACAAAGCCCUUCCCCACCCUCCUUCCGGAAAAUCUGACCACGACUCCAUUUUGUUGCUCCCAGUUUAUAGACAGAAACUAAAACAGGAAGCGCCCAUGCUCAGGUCUGUUCAUCGCUGGUCCAGCCAAUAG
rnacentral:lncRNA from 8 species